rnacentral:tRNA from 1 species
UCUCGAUUGGUCUAGUGGUCAGGAUACCUGCUUGUCAUCACCGUUUGUCUCUAGACGAAUAUUGAGUGCGCAGGUGGCCGGGGUUCGAUUCCCCGAUCGAGAG